GUAGCAAUACUUUGGGUGGCGACCGGCGCACGGGUGAGUAACGCGUAUGCAACCCAUCUAUCAGAGGGGAAUAACCCGGCGAAAGUCGGACUAAUACCGCAUAAAACAGGGACACCGCAUGGUGAUAUUUGUUAAAGAAAUUCGCUGAUAGAUGGGCAUGCGUUCCAUUAGGUAGUUGGUGAGGUAACGGCUCACCAAGCCGACGAUGGAUAGGGGAACUGAGAGGUUGGUCCCCCACACUGGUACUGAGACACGGACCAGACUCCUACGGGAGGCAGCAGUGAGGAAUAUUGGUCAAUGGGCGAGAGCCUGAACCAGCCAAGUCGCGUGAAGGAAGAAGGAUCUAUGGUUCGUAAACUUCUUUUGCAGGGGAAUAAAGUGCAGGACGUGUCCUGUUUUGUAUGUACCCUGAGAAUAAGGAUCGGCUAACUCCGUGCCAGCAGCCGCGGUAAUACGGAGGAUCCGAGCGUUAUCCGGAUUUAUUGGGUUUAAAGGGUGCGUAGGUGGUUUGAUAAGUCAGCGGUGAAAGUUUGCAGCUUAACUGUAAAAAUGCCGUUGAAACUGUCGGACUUGAGUGUAAAUGAGGUAGGCGGAAUGCGUGGUGUAGCGGUGAAAUGCUUAGAUAUCACGAAGAACUCCGAUUG
rnacentral:rRNA from 2 species